UACCCUGUGAGGAAGAAAGCCCAUGCAUAGGAAGUGCCGUUUGACACUUUAACAGCAGUGGAUCAAAUUGCCUCUUUUUCCAUCCGCCAUUGCACACAAAUCUUAGGGUUUGUUUGAUUGGCCGGAAAUUGAGUGUGGUGAUCUACUGUGUGUGUGAUUUAAAACGGGUCUCUGAGGGUU